rnacentral:rRNA from 1 species
CAGUCGCCGCGGGAAUACGAAGGGGGCUAGCGUUGCUCGGAAUGACUGGGCGUAAAGGGCGCGUAGGCGGAUUGUUUAGUUAGGCGUGAAAUUCCUGGGCUUAACCUGGGGACUGCGCUUAAUACAGGCAGUCUAGAGUGAGGAAGAGGGUUGUGGAAUUCCCAGUGUAGAGGUGAAAUUCGUAGAUAUUGGGAAGAACACCGGUGGCGAAGGCGGCAACCUGGUCCUUGACUGACGCUGAGGCGCGAAAGCGUGGGGAGCAAACAGGAUUAGAUACCCCUGUAGUCCCUGUCUCUUAUAC